rnacentral:tRNA from 1 species
GGCAAGGUGGUCGAGUGGUUAAGACGUAAGACUUGAAUCCAAUAUUGGAUGUUAUCUUAUCCCUUCGGGGUCGCGCGUUCAAAUCGCGUCCUUGUCG